ACCUUUAUUUAUCUAUCUAUCAGAUUCAACACUUUAAACCAAUGAUAAGAGAGAAACUAUAAGAAAACGAAGGAAAUAAUAUAUGUGGCUAACAAAAUAAUCGGUUUUGGGCAUGAAUCGAUUCGGGAGGGGCGAGAACCGGAACCGACCCAAUUAUUUAUUUCAACAUAAUAUUGGAGCCGGAUCCUUUAUAAAUGGUUGGGUCGAUUCGGGCCAGACGGGUGGACCUGAACCGUUGACAGCCCCUUCAAGAACAUGAAUGAUGAUAGCGAUUGUGCUGCAGCAAGGUUGGUAUCCCUUUUCCUUCUCCCUUCGGACCUGUAUUUCGAGGUAAGGACCUUUCAAAACCGCACUCGAUGUUCGUACCUUUGUUAUUGAGGCAUAAGAUUUUGUCCUGCGAAGUUGGUUUUGGAUUCGCACGAAUUAAUAAAUUCUGCUAAUGCAAUUUCUGCCUUGUCAUUGCAGGAACAUUCUAAUGGGUUCGCAUUGUCAAUUGCCGUAUCAAAAUGACUGCGAUAGUGCAUUUCCACUUCCAUGAGCUUGCGUCAUUGGAGCUGAUUCAAGCGCUCGAAUUGGAGCAGUAGUCUGCCGAGGUCUUGCAUACGCUGGAGUCCAGAAUAAGCCACUCUAACCCAUUUCAUCUAUAUUCACUUCUAAACUAUUUCUCGUCCAUCUGUUUCUGAUUAGAUAUUCUUGACAGGUGAAGGGCGUGAGCGCAAAGGAGACUCGGAAGCGAUAUGGAUGUGGAAGCUGCACAGGCACGAAGAAUGCUCAACUUGCGGGCAGGAUACACAACCUCUCGCGGAAAAACUGUAAGGAAGCCGAUCAACUCUUCGGUUUUUUGAUUUCUCGAGGCAUUGCUACUUUUGGCGAUCGGCUCACUGACUCCUGUGCCUUACCAUUGUUCCCGGUUUUCGAU